CCAAUAGCGUAUAUUAAAGUUGUUGCAGUUAAAAAGCUCGUAGUUGAAUUUCGGGACCAUCAUGUCGGUCGUGCCUCGGUACGUACUGGCAUUGUUGGUUUCUCCCUUCUGACGAACCAUGAUGUCAUUUAUUUGGUGUUGUGGGAAAUCAGGACUGUUACUUUGAAAAAAUUAGAGUGUUUAAAGCAGGCUCACGCUUGAAUACAUUAGCAUGGAAUAAUGAAAUAGGACGUUUGAUUCUAUUUUGUUGGUUUCUAGGAUCGAUGUAAUGAUUAAUAGGGAUAGUUGGGGGCAUUAGUAUUCAAUUGUCAGAGGUGAAAUUCUUGGAUUUAUUGAAGACUAACUACUGCGAAAGCAUUUGCCAAGGAUGUUUUCAUUAAUCAAGAACGAAAGUUAGGGGAUCGAAGACGAUCAGAUACCGUCGUAGUCUUAACCAUAAACUAUGCCGACUAGGGAUCGGAUGAUGUUAAUUUUUCAAUGACUCAUUCGGCGCCUUACG
rnacentral:misc_RNA from 1 species